AGCAGCAGCCAUAUCACCCUGCAACUCACAACUGGCAACCCACUGAAGCUAAGCAGGUGUGAGCCUGGUCAGUACCUGGAUGGGAGACCUCCUGGUUAAAAAAGGUUGAUGCUGGAA
rfam:Lepisosteus oculatus linkage group LG5, whole genome shotgun sequence.